rnacentral:rRNA from 1 species
GACGUAGGGCGCGAGCGUUGUCCGGAUUUAUUGGGCGUAAAGAGCUCGUAGGCGGCUUGUUGCGUCGUCCGUGAAAACCCGUGGCUCAACUGCGGGCUUGCGGUCGAUACGGGCAGGCUGGAGUUCGGUAGGGGAGACUGGAAUUCCUGGUGUAGCGGUGAAAUGCGCAGAUAUCAGGAGGAACACCGGUGGCGAAGGCGGGUCUCUGGGCCGAUACUGACGCUGAGGAGCGAAAGCGUGGGGAGCGAACAGG